rnacentral:rRNA from 1 species
AGAGUUUGAUCCUGGCUCAGAACGAACGCUGGCGGCAUGCCUUACACAUGCAAGUCGAACGGCAGCACGGGGGGCAACCCUGGUGGCGAGUGGCGAACGGGUGAGUAACAUAUCGGAACAUACCCUAGAGUGGGGGAUAACGUAGCGAAAGUUACGCUAAUACCGCAUACGAUCUAAGGAUGAAAGUGGGGGGAUCUUCGGACCUCAUGCUCAUGGAGUGGCCGAUAUCUGAUUAGCUAGUUGGUGAGGUAAAGGCUCACCAAGGCGACGAUCAGUAGCUGGUUUGAGAGAACGACCAGCCACACUGGAACUGAGACACGGUCCAGACUCCUACGGGAGGCAGCAGUGGGGAAUUUUGGACAAUGGGGGCAACCCUGAUCCAGCAAUGCCGCGUGAGUGAUGAAGGCCUUAGGGUUGUAAAGCUCUUUUGCCAGGGAAGAUGAUGACUGUACCUGGAGAAUAAGCCCCGGCUAACUUCGUG